UACUUGAAGUCAGGAACUUUUAGUAACCUGUAGUAUAUCUAACAGUUUUAUAUAUUUUGUAAAUAGGAAAAGCUAAAGCUAAAAUAAUGUAUGUGCAAGACAAUUUUAAUAUCAUUGAGCUUUGAAUAUAAAAUUAUUAGAUUUUCCAUUUUUGUAUAAUUAAUCACAUAUACAGUGCUAAUGAUUUUUAACUUGUUUUUGUAAUGAUAGCUUCUACAAACCUUAACUCUGUACAUGAUGCUGUUCAGGAAAUUGGAAAACAUGUUGCUAUGGUUUAGUCAGAAACUUUUGUGUUCUGUUGUUCCUUGUGGAACCAGUAGCACAGCUGUGACAUGUCUUAGAAGGAGAAUGAUGAUGAUGAUUGUUGUGACCAGGAGACACUUAAGUGAAGAAAAAAAACCAUAAACAUUUAUGUUUAUUCUACUAGAAGGUACACAUCCUCUGAUGAUCUUUUACCUUUGUUCAACUAGAAGGUACACAUCCUAUGAUGGUCUUUUACCUUUGUUCAGCUAGAAGGUACACAUCCUCUGAUGGUCUUUUACCUUUGUUCAGCUAGAAGGUACACAUCUUCUGAUGGUCUUUUUCCUUUGUUCAACUAGAAGGUACACAUCCUCUGAUGGUCUUUUACCUUUGUUGAACUAGAAGGUACACAUCCUCUGAUGGUCUUUUACCUUUGUUCCACUAGAAGGUACACAUUCUCUGAUGGUCUUUUAUGUUUGAUCUGCUAGAAGGUACACAUCUUAUGAUGGUCUUUUACUUUUGUUCAUCUAAAAGGUACACAUCCUCUUUGAUGGUCUUUUACCUUUGUUCCACUAGAAGGUACACAUUCUCUGAUGGUCUUUUAUAUUUGAUCUGCUAGAAGGUACACAUCUCUGAUGGUCUUUUACCUUUGUUCAUCUAGAAGGUACACAUCCUUUUUGAUGGUCUUUUACCUUUGUUCAGCUAGAAGGUACACAUCUUAUGAUGGUCUUUUACCUUUGUUUAACUAGAAAGUACACAUCCUAAGUUUAGUGACAUAAUAUUACACUUUGAAAUGUUUCCAUCGUCAGACUGCAGGACAACAGCUUGUUAUAUUUCUUACAGCAUAUAUAACAAUAAUAAUACAUCCGCUAUAGAAUAACUUGAAAUAUCUUAGAAAUACUAUGGUGCUUUGGGCCAAGUCCCAAGGAUAUGACUAAGUAUGGAAAGUCAGUUGACAUGAACACAUGAAUUAUCUUCAGAGAUAUUAAUGCUAAGUUAUAUUAAGUAAUAUACAAACUAGAAAAUAUUUCAAUUUAUGAAGUUUUAGAAAUACAUUUUUGGACAUAAAUAGGCUUCCAUGCUCCAGUGACUAACAGGAUCAACAUGAGUUUGGAAAGUUUGGACAUGUAGAUGUCAACCAAAAGUGAUCUGCAACUAGCCAAGGCAUAUGGAUAAUAGAAGAAAAAAGACAACUAAUUCUUAUGUGCACAUACCCUUUAAAUCAUGAGUUUUUGUCUGAUGAAAUAAAAAUCAAUCCAUGGUAUUAUUGUUGGUACUCCUUUUUGCUUCUAAAAGGUUAAUAAAUGUUUAUGGAAUGGUA
rnacentral:lncRNA from 1 species